rnacentral:rRNA from 1 species
UUUCCUACGGGGGGCAGCAGUGAGGAAUAUUGGUCAAUGGGCGGGAGCCUGAACCAGCCAAGUCGCGUGAGGGAAGAAGGUACUGAGUAUUGUAAACCUCUUCUGCCAGGGGACAAAGGCGGCCACGGGUGGCCGUAAGAGGGUACCCGGAGAAAAAGCAUCGGCUAACUCCGUGCCAGCAGCCGCGGUAAUACGGAGGAUGCGAGCGUUAUCCGGAUUUAUUGGGUUUAAAGGGUGCGCAGGCGGCGAGUUAAGUCAGCGGUAAAAUUUCGGGGCUCAACCCCGACGAGCCGUUGAAACUGGCU